rnacentral:RNase_P_RNA from 1 species
UCUGGGUAAAUGCUGCAUAUAAAUAUGUAGAGGAAAGUCCAUGCUCGCACUAUCUGCGAUGAUAGUAGUGUUUGUGCUUAGGGAAAAAAUAACCUAAGGCAGGAAACUGACGGCUUUUAUUUUAUCUAAGGGAAACUAUGAUAAAGUAGAUAUAAAAGUGCCACAGAAACGAGUCUAUUAAGAAAUUAGUAGAAUGAAACGAGGUAAACCCCACAAGCGAGAAACCCAAAUUAUGGUAGGGGAAUUCCCAAUGAAGAAAUGAAUUCAAAGGGAAAUGACAAUAGUCAUAGAUAAAUAUUUACCGCCUAGCAAUAGGUACAGAACAUGGCUUAUAA